rnacentral:rRNA from 1 species
GGAUCAGGGUAACUUCGUUAGCAAUACUGCGGCUGGCCCAAGAUUAGAGCUUGCGACCAGAUGUUAGCGGCGGAGGGUGAGUAACACGUGGGUAACCUGCCAGUAAGACUGGGAUAACUCCGGGAAACCGGGGCUAAUACCGGAAGGUUGUUUGAACCGCAGGGUUCAGACAUAAAAGGUGGCUUCGGCUACCACUUACAGAUGGACCCGCGGCGCAAUAGCUAGUUGGUGAGGUAACGGCUCACCAAGGCAACGAUGCGUAGCCGACCUGAGAGGGUGAUCGGCCACACUGGGACUGAGACACGGCCCAGACUCCUACGGGAGGCAGCAGUAGGGAAUCUUCCGCAAUGGACGAAAGUCUGACGGAGCAACGCCGCGUGAGUGAUGAAGGUUUUCGGAUCGUAAAGCUCUGUUGUUAGGGAAGAACAAGUGCCGUUCAAAUAGGGCGGCACCUUGACGGUACCUAACCAGAAAGCCACGGCUAACUACGUGCCAGCAGCCGCGGUAAUACGUAGGUGGCAAGCGUUGUCCGGAAUUAUUGGGCGUAAAGGGCUCGCAGGCGGUUUCUUAAGUCUGAUGUGAAAGCCCCCGGCUCAACCGGGGAGGGUCAUUGGAAACUGGGGAACUUGAGUGCAGAAGAGGAGAGUGGAAUUCCACGUGUAGCGGUGAAAUGCGUAGAGAUGUGGAGGAACACCAGUGGCGAAUGCGACUCUCUGGUCUGUAACUGACGCUGAGGAGCGAAAGCGUGGGGAGCGAACAGGAUUAAAUACCCUGGUAGUCCACGCCGUAAACGAUGAGUGCUAACUGUUAGGGGGGUUUCCGCCCCUUAGUGCUGCCGCUAACGCAUAAGCACUCCCCCGGGGAGUACGGUCGCAAGACUGAACUCAAGGAAUUGACGGGGGCCCGCACAGACCGUGGAGCAUGUGGUUUAAUUCAAAGCAACGCGAGAACCUUACCGGGUCUUGGACUUCCUCU